UACGUAGGGUGCGAGCGUUAAUCGGAAUUACUGGGCGUAAAGAGCUCGUAGGCGGUUUGUCGCGUCUGCCGUGAAAGUCCGGGGCUCAACUCCGGAUCUGCGGUGGGUACGGGCAGACUAGAGUGAUGUAGGGGAGACUGGAAUUCCUGGUGUAGCGGUGAAAUGCGCAGAUAUCAGGAGGAACACCAGUGGCGAAGGCGGCUUUCUGGCCUGUUCUUGACGCUGAGGCGCGAAAGCUAGGGGAGCAAACGGG
rnacentral:rRNA from 1 species